ensembl:lncRNA
ACAUUUGUCUUUAUUUUGCCAGUAAAUAAAUUGUUCAACUUUAAAAAAAAAUAUUUAAAACAAGCAAAAACAAAGCAGUACUCAAAAGAAGCACUCUCAUCCCACUUUGAUUUUUUUCUUUUAUUGCCAACACACACUUUUAAAGUCCUUCCUUGAUGUCAUAGCAAACAUUCAGCUGGUUUUCAGGCUGUGGCUGAUUGUGUUUAGUUCAAGUGUUGUCGUCACACAAGGCUACAGUAAAAUCUGACUUCUGUGCAGUGCAGGCCGGGUUUUCACAUGAGACAACCAAAAGAAAAAGAAAAGAAUCACUCAGUCUUUUAACUUCAGCUGUGGUUAAUCCAAAUGUUUCAAACGAGAGUAAAAUGCAAAAAUCAGACAAUAUAUCUUUAAAAAAGGGGAGGGGCAUAAAAUGAGAUCACACAGGUGGUGACACCCUUGUUUUUAGUUGGAAAAAGAAAUUUUACAUUGAGAAAAACUUUGAAACUCUGCUCACACAUCCUUUCACAGUGGUGAAAGCUUCCUCAUAUUUACUUUUUAAACCCUCAUUUUCUUUGGGAAUCAUGUCAUUAAUACAUUUAACGAGCUGUGGGGUGUUUCUGCAGUUGGGUUUGACUUUUGUGGAACAUGUUGCUGAAAUAAAAUCUAAGGUUUAUUAAAAAAGAUUUGAUAUGUUGUCUUUGUAUUGUUUUUGUUUAAAUAAAGAUACAAACUGAAAUGAUGGGAUUCUCUUUAUUUAAAUUUCACAUUCUGAACAGCUUGUUUUUGGAGAGAGUGAAUUAGCUUUGGAAGUUACGGAAGUUUAAAGGCGUCCACUUAUGCUUAUUUCCAUAUUUUGAUGAUUGGGUUCUGAUAGAGUAGCUUUGCAUGACUCGAAGAUCGAAAUCAUUAUUUUUUUUUCGUUCAGUCUUUCCCUUCAUACUCAAAACAAUCUGCUUCCAUCCAAUUUUUAUGACCUCAACUAAAUACUUAUAUUUACUGCUGUGUUUUUUUUUUUAUCUUAAAAAUGUUUCCCCAACAAUUUGUCAGUUUCCUUUCAUACAACUUUUCAUAGUUUUCUGUAAGAUAAUCUGCCCACCUGUGUGGUAAAGAUCAUGGAAAGUUGUGAGGAAAUAUAUUUAUGUUUUUAGACAUUACGGGUAAAUUCCCAUUUCUAAUCCCUGUGUUGUGCUUAAAAGUGGGAAUGAAUCAUUGUGAUGUUUUGUAGUGAACCAUGGCUAACACAGCUAUAAUGCAAAGAUUUACUGCUGCAGAAGCCCUGAGACAGACAUUUAAUGCCCAAACUGACAGCUCAGCUGAUGUAGGAAUGAGUCCAGUCGACUCCUUUUUGCACAAAAAUGAUCAAAAACUAAUGAAUAAACAAAUGACUAAGAAUAUUAUAAAAUGUCUGUGUAGGUUCCCAGUUAUCCAGGUCAUGGUACUCUAAGGAGCUUGGAUUUUGUUUUAAUUUUCUUGAAGAUGUUCCACCCCUCAUCAGAGAAGCUUC